CCUUUUUGGAGGUGCAAGCCUAUGUCUGGGUUCCGGUCACCGGUCUGUUGUCCUGACUGUGAAACUACGAAUGGCUCAUUAAAUAAGUUAUGGUUCCUUUGAUCGCUACAUCUGUUACUUAGAUAACUGUGGGAAUUGUAGAGAUAAUACAUGCCAGCAUGUAAAGUCUGCAAAGGACAUAAUGAAAUUGUUUUCAAAUUGUAUCCAGGCAACAGUUUUCCCUAUAAACUGACCUCUUAGUUUGACUUGUGAGGGUAUUGCCCCAGAAUUACAAAGACGCAACAACGCAUUUGUAGGUCAUCCAUAUCAACUUUCGAUACCACUUUCUGCUCCUACCAUGGUGACCACGGGUAACGGGGAAUUGGGGUUCAAUUCGGGAGAGGGAGCCUGAGAAAGGGCUACCACAUGCAAGGAAGGCAGUAGGCGCGCAAAUUACCCACUCCCGACGCGGAGAGGUAGUGACGAUAAAUAACAAUACACGACUCUUUAGAGGCCCUAUAAUUGGAAGGAGUACACAUAUGAGGCGGUGAGCGGGAAGG
rnacentral:rRNA from 1 species